UCUCCCUCAGCUCUCUCUCUUCUCCAUCUAUGUCUGCCUUUCUCUUCUCCAUCUCUCUCUCUCUUAAAGCCGGUAAGCACCAUGAUUUCCGGCUGCCUGAAACAUAUCUAAAAUCACAUGUAACUAUCAUCGAAUUUCAGAAUGAUCCCUAACCACCGUCACCAAAAAUCUGGGUUGCCGGCAUCGUUUUUGAACCCUAGAUCUGAACAAACUUAAGCCGAUCUGAACUGGGUGUCGCCGGUGUUUGUAGAGGUCCGAACUGUUUUUGAGAGGGUGUCUUAGGGUAUCGACAACAGGUCAACAGAAGUGGGUGCAUCGAUGGUGGGGGUGUCGACAAAAUCAAUCAGUGGAGGCUCGACGGUUGAGAGAGGAGUCUGAAUUUUUUUGGAGUAAAUAAAGUUCUUAACUUCAAUUUUGCCUACACAGUGGGUGCAUCAUUAAGGAAGUCAGAUACAUAUAAGUUUUCAAAACCUUCUCAACUUCAAUUUUGCCUACACAGAUGACUAUAUUAGUCUUUGCUUAUCAAAAUGUUUGUAAGGGAACCUUGAAGUUCCUAGGAGUUGCGGGCAUCGAAGGAAAUUAUCAGAUUUAGUUAUUUAAGCAACUGUGAAGAUGAACAAGAUUUUCGUCUUGCUGUCUUAAUUUUUUCGCCGAAGCAAGCUACUCGCCGAGAGAGAUGGCUGUGGUGGUGGUAGGUGUUACAAAUGAGGGAUGAUUUUUAUUGUAAUAUAUUUAUUUAAUGCGCAAAAUCACUAAAGUACCCUCAUGUGCCUUGCAUAUUGCUGGAUUAAACUGAAAAUUAUAAUCUGGUUAGGGUUAAAGGACGUAGAGUGUAAUGAGUUUUCCAAAUAAAGGACUGUGACUGUAAUUAUUGAAGUUAAAGGCUAUUCAUUGCAACCCACUACAAACAUAAAGGACGAAAAGUGUAACUUACCCUUCUCUAUAUAUAUCUAUGUAAAGAGAAAAAAGAUAUGUGUGAAUAUUUAGUCCGGUUUUAAUAUCAUAUUUUUAUCUAUAUUCAUGUAAUUUAAUUAAAACAUAAAUUUACCUUAUCAAAAAUAUUGAAAUAACCUUUCACAUCUAAUUCCUUAUAUGUAUCUAUAUUUAAUUAAAUAAUAC
rnacentral:lncRNA from 1 species